rnacentral:rRNA from 1 species
UCCGAAGGGGGCUAGCGUUGUUCGGAAUUACUGGGCGUAAAGCGCGCGCAGGCGGUUUUUCAAGUCAGUGGUGAAAGCCCGGAGCUCAACUCCGGAAAUGCCAUUGAAACUGUUAAACUUGAGGACGAGAGAGGUGAGUGGAAUUCCCAGUGUAGAGGUGAAAUUCGUAGAUAUUGGGAAGAACACCGGUGGCGAAGGCGGCUCACUGGCUCGUUUCUGACGCUGAGGAGCGAAAGCGUGGGGAGCGAACAGG